rnacentral:rRNA from 1 species
UACAGAGGGUGCAAGCGUUAAUCGGAAUCACUGGGCGUAAAGCGUGCGUAGGUGGUCAUGCAAGUCGGGUGUGAAAUCCCCGGGCUUAACCUGGGAACUGCAUUCGAUACUACAUGGCUAGAGUAUGGUAGAGGGAAGUGGAAUUUCCGGUGUAGCGGUGAAAUGCGUAGAUAUCGGAAGGAACACCAAUGGCGAAGGCAGCUUCCUGGACCAAUACUGACACUGAGGCACGAAAGCGUGGGUAGCAAACAGG